CAAAAGUAUUUAAAAAUACUUUUAAAAUAAAUUUAGGAACAUAAAAAACUAAAAAGGUCUUUAAAAGCUAAAAAAAAUGAAGACGCUUACAAUAUUGGUUGUAAGCUUUAUUUUGACUAUUGAAGCUGCUAGAGAUUGUCCACCAACAAGUAACUUAGAAAUGAGGUUACAAGACGGUCAAAUAUAUAGGAACGAUGAUGGUUGUCGAAGAUGUGAAAAUGGUAUUAUACGUUAUAUAUCAUGUAGAUACAGCAGAGGUAUUUUGGAAAGCAGACGAAACAAAUUUUUGAAAAGACGAACAAUGGACGAUUAUUACGCAGACGACGAUGAAUAUGCUUACGAAAAAUAAUGAAAAUGAUUAUUUGCAAUUCAGGAUUUUUUUUUUUUUAAUUUGUUAUUGUCAAUAACUUGUAUUAAAUUUUUUAUGUACGUCAUCUUGAAUAAAUUUCAUUUUAUUGAAUAA